rnacentral:rRNA from 1 species
AUCAACCGAGAUUCCCCCAGUAGCGGCGAGCGAACGGGGAGCAGCCCAGAGUCAGCAUCAAUAUUUACUGCAGGAGAAGGGUCUGGAAAGGCCGGCAAUAAAGGGUGAUAGCCCCGUAUCUGAAGCGGUAAAUGUUGUGAGCUCGAAGAGUAGGGCGGGACACGUGUUAUCCUGUCUGAAUAUGGGGGGACCAUCCUCCAAGGCUAAAUACUCCUGACUGACCGAUAGUGAACCAGUACCGUGAGGGAAAGGCGAAAAGAACCCCGGCGAGGGGAGUGAAAUAGAACCUGAAACCGUCUACGUACAAGCAGUGGGAGCACCCGCAAGGGUGUGACUGCGUACCUUUUGUAUAAUGGGUCAGCGACUUAUAUUCUGUAGCAAGGUUAACCGCAUAGGGGAGCCGUAGGGAAACCGAGUCUUAACUGGGCGUCAAGUUGCAGGGUAUAGACCCGAAACCCGGUGAUCUAGCCAUGGGCAGGUUGAAGGUUGGGUAAC